AUGAACGCUGGCGGCGUGCCUCAUACAUGCAAGUCGAGCGAACAGACGAGGAGCUUGCUCCUCUGACGUUAGCGGCGGACGGGUGAGUAACACGUGGAUAACCUACCUAUAAGACUGGGAUAACUUCGGGAAACCGGAGCUAAUACCGGAUAAUAUAUUGAACCGCAUGGUUCAAUAGUGAAAGACGGUUUUGCUGUCACUUAUAGAUGGAUCCGCGCCGCAUUAGCUAGUUGGUAAGGUAACGGCUUACCAAGGCAACGAUGCGUAGCCGACCUGAGAGGGUGAUCGGCCACACUGGAACUGAGACACGGUCCAGACUCCUACGGGAGGCAGCAGUAGGGAAUCUUCCGCAAUGGGCGAAAGCUUGACGGAGCAAAGCCGCGUGAGUGAUGAAGGUCUUCGGAUCGUAAAACUCUGUUAUUAGGGAAGAACAAAUGUGUAAGUAACUAUGCACGUCUUGACGGUACCUAAUCAGAAAGCCACGGCUAACUACGUG
rnacentral:rRNA from 1 species